CGUGACGUUACCCAGAUAGUACGUCAUUGCCUGUCCGUGUAAGUCUGGAUAUGACGAGAUUAUUUCCCUGCGUACUUGUUUGGUGAUGAUUUUCAGAUUUGUGAAUUCUAUAUGAUAUUGUGAUAUGAUUUCCAUGGUUAGUAAUCUGAUUUAAAUGUUUAAUGAUUUAUUUCUGGUUUCUCGCUUAUGGUUUAAUGCAAUCGUGUUUGGAAAUGAUAUGAUUAUUUCUUUUAAAGUAAGAAUUAAUUUUCAAAACUACUAUCCACUCACUGAUCUCACUGAGUUUUAGACUCAUCCCGUUUUUAUUAUAUUUCCCCCCCUCACCAGGAGGUUGCAGUUACACCAAACCGACCCAGCGACUGCAAAUAUAUUUUGAGUCUUGACCACGUGAUGGUGUUAGAAGAUAUAGAUGUUUUUCUUAGGACAUCUUGGUCAUCUUGUUCUUUUGGGAUUGUAUACUUUUGUUAUAUUAUUCGUUUUGGGAUUAAGAAUAAAUUGAGAUAUUAAUAUUAGUUAUAAUAUUAUCUUUUGAGACUCUAGAGAUAUAAAACUCAGCAUUUUGGUUGAGGAUGUUGAGCACUGGAGUUUGUUGUAUAUUGAAUUGUAUUAGGAGUGUUAUAUUCAUAUUUGUAGAUUGGGAGUAUUAUAUAUAUAAAGGAGACUCUGCCGAAUUUUCGGCAGAAUCUUUACGAAUAGAAUUAUUAUCAAGUCCGUUUUGAUGAGACUAGAUAGACUCGCUUGGGGGGAUUCGGGGCGGGUCGUUUCAGUUGGUAUCAGAGCAUGGUUUUAGAUUCUGUAGACUUUACUGUCUUUAUAAGAAUAAGUUUUAUCUUUAUUAAAGUUAGAAUUUAUCUCUUGUAGGCACCAUCAUGCUUUGUCGUAGUAGUAGACGUGGCCGUGGCCGUACUAGGCCAAUAGCUGGGUUGACUUUUGGUAGUGCUCCUGCGGGGGAAAGUGAACCCGCGAAUGAGGGGAUAGUUGAAUCCUCCACGCAUGAAAUUGCACAACAGACACCGGGGAAUGCCCCGAAUAUUGAGCAGUGAUUUGAUAGGCUGGCUCAAAUCAUGACUACAGUUGUGCAAAAUCAGACUCAAGCGCAUGUCGGUAACGCAAACACUAUUGAGCGAGUGAGGAGUUUAGGGGCGAGGAGCUUUAAUGGUUCUGGAGAACCACCUGAGGCUGAGUCAUGGUUUGUUAAGUUAGAGCGUAUUUUUGAUGUGAUGAAGUGUUCAGAGGAUGAUAGAUUAUCCUUCGCCACUUUCCUGCUCGAGGAUAGAGCUUACCAUUGGUGGCAGACUGUGGAGAGACGAUAUCAGGGGGAUGCUGCGAUUACAUGGGCCAUUUUCCGCAAAGAAUUCUACGAUCAUUAUUUUCCUACUGUAUAUCAGGAUAUUAAACAGAGUGAAUUCUUUCGGUUGGUUCAGGGAUCUCUAACAGUUGAGGAGUAUGAGAAGAAAUUUUUAGACCUCUUUAGAUUUGCUACAUCUGUAGUCGGUGGUGAGAGAGAGAGAUGUAGACGGUUCGAGGAUGGCCUCUAAUUUGAGAUUCGCACCACCGUGACUGCAUAACGAUAUACUGAGUUUGGAGAGGUAGUUGAGGCAGCCAGGAGAGUAAAGCACAGUAUUUCAGAAGGACGUAGAUUUCAUGCACUGAAGCAGAAGCAUAGCCAGAGCUGGGCAGUGAGUGACUUUAGCAGUAGGCCGUCCAAGAGAGGGGGUAUUCCUACGAGUUAUUUUGGUAGUACGCAAAGGAGUCAGAGUACAGGCUUCAGGGGAGACUCGAGACAGGCUGUCAGUCACAGCUCUGUACAACCAUCGGUGGGGAGUAAUACCAGGAAUCAGAGACAGUACGACCGCAGUGGUGAGGGAUAUCGUGAUGAUUGUUCUAGGAGCUUCCAGCAGACUUCUUGCCCUUCAUGUGGCAGGAAUCAUCAGGGCCAAUGUCGCGUUGGAGACAGAGUUUGUUAUUUGUGUGGUCAGCUUGGACACAUCAGGAGAUUCUGCCCUACUUUAUCUAAGGGUGAUAGCUCUACAGGAGGGACAGCCUCACGGUAUCGGCCUUACUCUGGCCAGACUCAGGGUCAGAAAAGAGUGCAGACAGGAGGUUCUACAUCUACCUUUAGGAGUCAGACGACUGCUCCAGGUCAAAGAGGUCAGCCUAGUCGACCUCAUACUCAGGCUUGAGUUUUUGCUUUGACGCAGCAAGAGGCACGUGCUGCACCAGAAGUUAUUAUGGGUAUAUUAUCUAUCCUUGGCCGCGAGGCUCAUAUUCUUAUUGAUCCUGGAUCCACACACUCUUUUGUUUCUUGUACUUUUGCUAUGCACAUAGGGCGAGAGCCCGAACUGUUAGAUUGCGAUUUAGUUGUUCGUACACUACCGGAGAGUCAUUACUUACUCAGACUGUGUAUCGAGAUUGUAUGAUUGGAAUAGGUGAACAUGAAUUUGAGGCGAAUUUGAUUUCCUUAGAUAUUCAUGACUUUGAUGCUAUUUUGGGCAUGGAUUGGCUUGAAUCUCAUUAUGCUACGGUGGAUUGUUUCAAAAAGGACGUUGUAUUUAAAAAGCCAGGGAAAGUUGAGGUGAAAUUCUGUGGGGAGCGCAAAGUUCUACCUUCAUGUGUUAUAUCUGCUAUUAGUGCAUGAAGGUUGCUAAGAAAAGGAUACUCAGCUUAUUUAGCUCGUGUGAUAGAUACAGAAGCUCGAGAAUUGAGAUUGGAGGAUAUUACAGUAGUUAAAGAAUUUCCAGAUGUAUUUCCAAAUGAACUUCCUGGGAUGCCACCUAAUAGAGAAGUUGAGUUUUCUAUUGACUUAGUCCCUGGAACAUCUGUAAUAUCUAUGGCACCGUACAGAAUGGCUCCAGCAGAAUUGAAGGAACUGAAGGUUCAAUUGCAAGAGUUAGUGGAGAAAGGGUUUAUUAGACCUAGUGUCCCCGUGGGGAGCUCCAGUCUUGUUUGUUAAGAAAAAAGAUAGGACUUUUAGACUCUGCAUCGAUUACAGGCAGUUGAAUAAAGUUACGGUACACAAUAAGUAUCCACUUCCGUGUAUUGAUGACUUGUUUGAUCAACUCCAAGGGGCAAAAGUAUUUUCUAAGAUCAAUUUGCUGUCGGGUUACCAUCAGCUUAGAAUUAAAGAUGUCGACGUUCCUAAAACAGCAUUUAGAACCCGUUAUGGGCGCUAUGAGUUCUUAGUGAUGCCAUUUGGGUUGACAAAUGCCCCAGCUGCUUUUAUGGACCUGAUGAAUAGGGUAUUUCGCUCGUACUUGGAUCGGUUUGUGAUUGUAUUCAUUGAUGAUAUCUUGGUGUAUUCCUGAAGCGAGGAGGUGCAUGCAGAGCAUUUGCGGACUAUUUUACAGACUUUGAGACAUAAGCAAUUGUAUGCCAAGUUCAGCAAAUACGAGUUCUGGUUAGACAAGUAGUAUUUUUGGGCCAUGUGAUAUCAGCUGAAGGCAUUUAUGUUGAUCCUCAAAAGAUUGAAGCAGUUGUGAAAUGAGAACAGCCUACAAAUGUCACAGAGGUUCGGAGUUUUCUUGGAUUGGCUGGUUAUUAUCAUAGAUUUAUGGAAGGAUUCUCCAAGAUUGCUACUCCUCUGACAUGGUUAACCAGAAAGAAUGCUAAGUUCCAGUGGGAUGAUGACUAUGAGAAGAGUUUUCAAGAACUUAAGACACGUUUGACCUCAGCACCAGUUCUUACACUUCCAUCUGGUAAUGAAGGAUUUUUGGUUUACAGCGAUGCUUUUAGGCAGGGAUUGGGUUGUGUAUUGAUGCAGCAUGGAAAAGUAGUGGCUUAUGCUUCUAGAAAACUUAAGAAGCAUGAACAAAACUACCCAACACAUGACUUAGAGCUAGCAGCAAUGGUGUUUGCACUCAAGAUAUGGCGACAUUAUUUAUAUGGGGCAACGUGUCAGAUUUUCACUGAUCAUAAGAGCUUGAAGUAUUUGUUUACUCAGAAAGAGUUGAAUUUGAGACAGAGGAGAUAGAUCGAGCUGAUUAAGGACUACGAUUGCACUAUCGAUUGUCAUCCGGGUAAAGCAAAUGUGGAAGCUGAUGCACUAAGUAGAAAGUCUUCCAGCUCUAUAGCUCACUUGCGAGUGAAAUAUGUGCCUCUGUUGAUCGAGUUGAGAUCUUUGGGAGUCGAGUUGAAUGCUGACAAUCGUGGAGCUUUGAUAGCUAAUUUUUGAGUUAUGCCGACUUUGAUUGACCCACAAUUAAUAAAGUUGAAAGAUGAUGUGCAGAAAAGUUUAUGAACCGAUUUUAUGGUGAGAGAUGAUGGUGUCUUAGUCAUGGGUAAUAGACUCUGUGUACCCGGUAUGAAAGAUCUGAAAGAAGAGAUUAUGGAAGAAGCUCAUUAUUCAGCAUAUGCGAUGCAUCCUGGUAGUACAAAGAUGUAUCGCACCCUAAGGGAUCAUUACUGGUGGCAGGGCAUGAAGAGAGAGAGUAGAAUUUAUUUCUCGAUGUUUAGUCUGUCAGCAUAUUAAAGCUGAACACCAGAGGCCUACACGGUGUUCUCAGCCGCUUCAUAUUCCUGAGUGGAAGUGGGAGCAUAUCACCAUGGAUUUUGUAGCAGGACUUCCACGUACUCAGAAAGGACAUGAUGGUGUUUGGGUGGCUGUUGAUCGACUUACAAAAUCUACUCAUUUCUUACCUUUCAAGACCACUUACUCGAUGGACAAGUUAGGGAGUAUUUAUGCGGCUGAAAUAGUUUGACUUCACGGAGUACCUGUGUCCAUAGUCUCAGAUAGAGAUUCCUGGUUUACUUCUAAGUUCUGGACUAGCUUGCAAAAUGCUUUAGGCACCAAGUUGAACUUCAGUACAACUUUUCAUCCACAGACUGAUGGACAGUCAGAGCGUACUAUUCAAACUCUGGAGGAUAUGUUGUGAGCUUGUGUUAUAGAGUUUAAAGGUAAUUGGGAUAAUUAUUUACCUCUGAUGGAGUUUGCUUACAACAACAGUUAUCAAGCUAGUAUCGAGAUGGCACCAUAUGAGGCUUUGUAUGGUAGAAAAUGCAGGACUCCAGUAUGUUGGGAUGAAGUUGGUGAGCGGAGGUUAUUCGGUCCAGAACUAGUUCAGGAUACGAACUAGAAGAUACAAUUGAUUCAGGAUAGAUUAAAGGUGGCCCAAGAUAGACAUAAGAGCUAUGCAGACAAGCGUAGGCGGGAACUUGAAUUCGAAGUUGGUGAUAGAGUUUUUAUACGGAUAUCUCCUUAGAAAUGGGUGCUUUGAUUUGGGAAACGUGGGAAGUUAAGUCCACGUUACAUUGGGCCAUAUGAGAUCAUUGAGUGCAUCGGUCCGUUAGCUUAUCGAUUAGCUCUACCACCUAAGUUAUCUAGAAUCCACGAUGUGUUUCACGUCUCAAUGCUUCGGAAGUACAUAUAUGACCCGAGUCAUGUGAUAUCGAAGCAACCAAUUCAGUUGAAGGCAGAUCUGACUUACGAAGAGGAACCAGUGGAGAUAUUGGAAGAGAAACACCAAGUUCUGCGUUCUAAGACCAUUCCUCUAGUAAAAGUGCGGUGGAGGAAUCAUACAAAGGAAGACGCUACCUGGGAACGCGAGGACUUAAUGCGAGCUCAGUAUUCCUAUCUUUUCUUAUCAGGUACGUAAAUUUCGAGGACAAAAUUUUUAUAAGGGGGGAGGAUUGUAACAUAUGUGAAUUUCAAAAUGAAAAUAAGGCGGUUAAGGAGUUUAUAAGUAAAAGAAUAACCUGGAAACAGGGUAAAAACAUGCACGUGUGAGAGAGUGAAGGGAAGCUGCCAAACCGACCCAACUACAGACCCGAAAACCCAACCCAAAACCCGCGACCUUGAUCCGACCAUAUCUCCCAUUUUCGGCCACCGUUUCGGCCAAGCUUGGUACCAAUCUGAAGCUUAGAAGCCGAUCGUUGUUCCCCUGCCAUCCUCGCCGCCGAAAACCAACCGGAACGCCAACGAUCGAAGCUUGGAACCCGCGACUGUUUCACUUUACUCCGCCGGGAUUUUCGCCAGUUUUGGGUGACACCACCGGUUGGAUUUUGUUCCUCAUGACUCGCUCUUCCAUUUCCGACCAUCCAUAGGCACCGAGAGUUACUGUUUUGCCGCUGGUCGAUUGUUGGAAUUCACGGCUGCCGAGCUCGAUUCCGGCGCCGUUGCCGCACGUUGGAGCUCACCGCCAGUACCAUUGAACUCAGCGUGAUUGGAACUUUCAAAUUUGACCUUCCUAGCCAGCGUUGACCAAAUUUUGGUGACCGUUGAUCGGCAAGGGCAUUUUGGUAAUUUCACACUAUGAGGGCAAUUUUGUAAUUUCUGAGCCUGUGGAUAUUUUAGUAAUUCCAAGAAUUGAGGAGUAGGUGUAAUUAUGAAUCCGAGGGUAAUUCGGUGUUGUAUGAUUUCAGAGUAUGUGUUAAUGAUUUACGGACUCAAGGGCAUUUUAGUAAUUUUAUGGACACGAGAGUUGUCAAUUAUGGAUAGAUGUUCGUUUCGCGUUUAUUGCAUAAAUUUAUUCGUAAUUCCGAUUUACGAAAAAUAAUUAUGUCGUUUCCUUGAUUUAGGAGGAUCCGCGAGCGAGAACCGGUCUGCGGACGUGGAUGAUAACCGACCGUGAACACCGUCACUGUGAGUGGAAUAUACAAAGCCUAUUUUCAUAGUUAAUUAUGAUAGUAAUGCAUGUUUGUGAAAUAAUUAUUUUAAAUGUUCUGAUUUAAUGAUUUCCUCGAAAUGGAUUUUUAUUUAGGCAUUGGUAUUUUAUUAAAAUGUUUGGUUAUUGAUUUUGCGUAUCGACUUUGAAUAAAGCAUGAUAAUAUUUUAAAGAUAAGAAAAGUGGAUUCAAAUGUGGUAUGAUUUAAAGUAUGAUUAAAAGGUAUGUGAAUAUGAGUAUAAUGAUUGUUUUUGAAAUCAUUAGACAGUACCCUUCCCCUCCAGAUACAGUGAUACAGGUGAUAUGAGAUGAGAGGCCUUUGGGGCCCGUCUGAACACACAUAGAGGCUUUGGGCCGUGUGUUUGGGCGCUUUUGCCUUUUGGGGGCAUAUGCAUGCGGUAUGAUGAUUACAGAUAUACAGAUAUUGAGAUACAAAUGAUACAGAUGAGAUACAGGCCUUUAGGGCCCGUCUGAGUACACACAGAGGCUUUGGGCCGUGUGCUUGGGUGCUUUUGUCCCUUGGGGACUAGAUUAUGCAUGCAUAGAUAUGAUGAGAUAUGAGAUGGUAUUUCCCUGUCUAUCCGUGUAGCUCCGGGGCGUGACGUUACCCAGAUAGUACGUCAUUGCCCGUCCGUUGAGGUCCGGAUAUGACGAGAUUAUUUCCCUGGGUACUUGUUUGGUGAUGAUUUUCAGAUUUGUGAAUUCUAUAUGAUAUUGUGAUAUGAUUUCCAUGGUUAGUAAUCUGAUUUAAAUGUUUAAUGAUUUAUUUCUGGUUUCUCGCUUAUGGUUUAAUGCAAUCGUGUUUGGAAAUGAUAUGAUUAUUUCUUUUAAAGUAAGAAUUAAUUUUCAAAACUACUAUCCACUCACUGAUCUCACUGAGUUUUAGACUCAUCCCGUUUUUAUUAUAUUUCCCC
rnacentral:lncRNA from 1 species